GAUGAACGCUGGCGGCGUGCUUAACACAUGCAAGUCGAACGAGCUUUCCCUGCCUUUGUCGCGUGCUCUAGUGGCGAACGGGUGAGUAACACGUGAGUAACCUGCCCGUGACUUUGGGAUAACUUCAGGAAACUGGGGCUAAUACCGGAUAGGAGCUCCUGCCACAUGGCGUUGGUUUGAAAGUUUCGGCGGUUGGGCAUGGACCCGCGGCUUAUCAGCUUGAUGGUGGGGUUGUGGCUUAGCAGGGCUUUGACGGGUAGCCGGCCUGGGAGGGUGACAGGGCACAGUGGGACUGGGAUAGGGCCCAGACGCCUACGGGAGGCAGCGGUGGAGAACAGUGCACGAUGGGCGGAAGGCGGAUGGAGCAACGUCGGGUGCGGGAUGACGGCCUUCGGGGUGGAAAACGCAUUCGCCGGAGACGAAGCGUGAGUGACGGUAAUGGGUAAAGAAGCAACGGCUAACUACGUG
rnacentral:rRNA from 1 species